AUUCAUCUGACGAGUCCCAAAUAGGACGAAACGUGCAUCCUGGAC
rfam:Schistosoma curassoni strain Dakar, Senegal genome assembly, scaffold: SCTD_scaffold0002494